rnacentral:rRNA from 1 species
CCUACGGGUGGCAGCAGUGAGGAAUAUUGGUCAAUGGACGAGAGUCUGAACCAGCCAAGUAGCGUGAAGGAUGACUGCCCUCUGGGUUGUAAACUUCUUUUAUAUGGGAAUAAAAUGUUCCACGUGUGGGAUUAUGUAUGUACCAUAAGAAUAAGGAUCGGCCAACUCCGUGCCAGCAGCCGCGGUAAUACGGAGGAGCCGAGCGUUAUCCGGAUUUAUUGGGUGUAAAGGGAGCGUAGGUGGAUUGUUAAGUCAGUUGUGAAAGGUCGCGGCUCAACCGUAGAAUUGCAGUUGAAACUGGCAGGCUGGAGUACAGUAGGGGUGGGCGGAAUUCGUAGUGUAGCGGUGAAAUGCUUAGAUAUCACGAAGAACUCCGAUUGCGAAGGCAGUUCACUGGACUGCAACUGACACUGAGGCUCGAAAGUGUGGGGAUCAAACAGGAUUAGAUACCCGUGUAGUC